AGUUGAUCAUGGCUCAGAACGAACGCUGGCGGCGCGUCUUAAGCAUGCAAGUCGAACGGCAAGAGGUAGCAAUACCUCCUAGAGUGGCGGACUGGUGAGUAACACGUGGGUGACAUACCCUUCAGAUGGGGAUAGCUAUUAGAAAUAGUAGAUAAUACCGAAUACGAGCACAGGGGUUAGAGAUCUGUGAGGAAGGAGCUAAGGCUCCGCUGAAGGAAUGGCCUGCGGCCCAUUAGCUAGUUGGUGAGGUAAGAGCCCACCAAGGCGAUGAUGGGUAUCCGGCCUUAGAGGGUGAACGGACACAUUGGGACUGAGAUACGGCCCAGACUCCUACGGGAGGCAGCAGCUAAGAAUAUUCCGCAAUGGACGAAAGUCUGACGGAGCGACGCCGCGUGGAUGAAGAAGGCCGGAAGGUUGUAAAAUCCUUUUGAAACUGAAGAAUAAGCGUUGUAGGGAAUGACAGCGUGGUGACAGUAGGUUUUGAAUAAGCAACGGCUAAUUACGUGCCAGCAGCCGC
rnacentral:rRNA from 1 species